UACAGAGGUCCCAAGCGUUGUUCGGAUUCACUGGGCGUAAAGGGCGCGUAGGCGGCUUAGCAAGUGACGGGUGAAAUCCCUCGGCUUAACCGAGGAACUGCCUGUCAAACUGCAUGGCUUGAGACCAGGAGAGGUGAGUGGAAUUCCCAGUGUAGCGGUGAAAUGCGUAGAUAUUGGGAGGAACACCAGUGGCGAAGGCGGCUCACUGGACUGGUACUGACGCUGAGGCGCGAAAGCGUGGGGAGCAAACAGG
rnacentral:rRNA from 1 species